rnacentral:lncRNA from 1 species
CAUUCCAAAAGUAACUAUUAAGCUUCUAGUCAAGUCCGACAAACAACAGUCAUGGUUACAUUGUAUUUGAAGCACAUACAUGAUCCAAUGGACACCCGCCAGUGCCCAUUGAGGGGAGGGAGACUCAAAGGAGGGAUGGCUAGCAAAAGAAGAACAUGCUCUCACUAAAUUGGCAUUUGGUAAGACAAUAUGCAAUCAUGAAAGAUGCAUGGAGAAUGGGAAAGCAAGGACAUGGGCAGCAACAGCUUGCUUGCUAGAACUUGUGCAAACAUAUAGAGGGGGAGAACUAGAACACCCAUGGUGGGCAUGCAUUGUGUGCAG